rfam:Pteropus alecto contig46512, whole genome shotgun sequence.
GUCUAUAGCCAUGCCACCCUGAACGCGCCCGAUCCCAUCUGAUCUUGGAAGCUAAGCAAGGUCAGGCCUGAUUAGUACUUGGAUGGGAAACCACCUGGGAAUACCAGGUGCUAUAGGCU